rnacentral:rRNA from 1 species
AGAACGAACGCUGGCGGCAUGCCUAACACAUGCAAGUCGAACGAGACCUUCGGGUCUAGUGGCGCACGGGUGCGUAACGCGUGGGAAUCUGCCCUUGGGUUCGGGAUAACAGUUGGAAACGACUGCUAAUACCGGAUGAUGACUUCGGUCCAAAGAUUUAUCGCCCAAGGAUGAGCCCGCGUAGGAUUAGCUUGUUGGUGAGGUAAGAGCUCACCAGGCGACGAUCCUUAGCUGGUCUGAGAGGAUGAUCAGCCACACUGGGACUGAGGCACGGCCCAGACUCCUACGGGAGGCAGCGAGUAGGGAAUAGUUGGACAAGUGGGACGAAAGCCU